CCUACGGGAGGCAGCAGUGAGGAAUAUUGGUCAAUGGACGAGAGUCUGAACCAGCCAAGUAGCGUGAAGGAUGACUGCCCUAUGGGUUGUAAACUUCUUUUAUAUGGGAAUAAAAUGUUCCACGUGUGGGAUUUUGUAUGUACCAUAUGAAUAAGGAUCGGCUAACUCCGUGCCAGCAGCCGCGGUAAUACGGAGGAUCCGAGCGUUAUCCGGAUUUAUUGGGGUUAAAGGGAGCGUAGGGGGAUUGUUAAGUCAGUUGUGAAAGUUUGCGGCUCAACCGUAAAAUUGCAGUUGAAACUGGCAGUCUUGAGUACAGUAGAGGUGGGCGGAAUUCGUGGUGUAGCGGUGAAAUGCUUAGAUAUCACGAAGAACUCCGAUUGCGAAGGCAGUUCACUGGACUGCAACUGACACUGAGGCUCGAAAGUGUGGGUAUCAAACAGGAUUAGAUACCCGAGUAGUC
rnacentral:rRNA from 1 species